AUUGAACGCUGGCGGAAUGCUUUACACAUGCAAGUCGAACGGCAGCACGGGGGCAACCCUGGUGGCGAGUGGCGAACGGGUGAGUAAUACAUCGGAACGUGCCCAGUCGUGGGGGAUAACGUAGCGAAAGUUACGCUAAUACCGCAUACGAUCUACGGAUGAAAGCGGGGGACCGUAAGGCCUUGCGCGAUUGGAGCGGCCGAUGUCAGAUUAGGUAGUUGGUGAGGUAAAGGCUCACCAAGCCGACGAUCUGUAGCUGGUCUGAGAGGACGACCAGCCACACUGGGACUGAGACACGGCCCAGACUCCUACGGGAGGCAGCAGUGGGGAAUUUUGGACAAUGGGCGCAAGCCUGAUUCAGCCAUUCCGCGUGCAGGACGAAGGCCUUCGGGUUGUAAACUGCUUUUGUACGGAACGAAAAGGCUCUGGUUAACACCUGGGGCUCAUGACGGUACCGUAAGAAUAAGCACCGGCUAACUACGUGCCAGCCGCCGCUGUAA
rnacentral:rRNA from 1 species